CUUUGUUUGGAAUGAAGAUGGAUGAACAGGCACUUGAGCCUGGAACUGAUGAAAUUCGGGGAAAACAUGGAAGCGGUUACUAUACUGGGGGGCAAGACAUGACCGCGACUUAAGAAAAAAGUACCCUUGAAAAGACUAAAGGAACGGGGGAAUGACUACCUGUAAUAAAGCACAGGCUAAUACGAGCCGACCAGAAGAAGCAAGGCUUAGAUUACCAGAUCCUGGACAUAAUCUUCCUAGAGAUGGAGAGCCACUUGACUGU
rnacentral:lncRNA from 1 species